rnacentral:rRNA from 1 species
UACGGGGGGGCAAGCGUUGUUCGGAAUUACUGGGCGUAAAGGGCUCGUAGGCGGCCAACUAAGUCAGACGUGAAAUCCCUCAGCUCAACUGGGGAACUGCGUCUGAUACUGGUCGGCUUGAGUGCAGGAGAGGAACGCGGAAUUCCAGGUGUAGCGGUGAAAUGCGUAGAUAUCUGGAGGAACACCGGUGGCGAAGGCGGCGUCUGGACUGCAACUGACACUGAGGAACGAAAGCCAGGGGAGCAAACGGG